rnacentral:rRNA from 1 species
AUCUGGUUGAUCCUGCCAGUAGUCAUAUGCUUGUUUCAAGGACUAAGCCAUGCACGUCUCAGAGUAAACGGAGCACAGUAGGUCUGUGUACGGCUCAUUAUAUCAGCUACAAUCUGACCUGCGAAGUGGGAUGAUGUCCCAUCCCACCACACGGAUAACCUGUUGGAAUCCGGAGGCUAAGACGUGGAAGAGCAACCCUUCCUCCAUCUCAACACCGAAGGGAAACCGGAGGUGCGGAGGGCGGGCGCAUCCGACCGACACAAAAGCCAACGCCCAUCGGGCAGCGUGUAUUGAUGACUCAGGUCGGAGACGGCUAAAGGGCACCGCCUCGUGCUGGCCCGUCGCAGGUAGAAUUUCUGCCCUAUCAGCUUUCGAUGGUAGUGUCGUGGACUACCAUGGCGUUCACGGGUAACGGAGUAUUGGGGUACGAUUCCGGAGAGGUGGCCUGAGAGACGGCCGCCACAUCCAAGGAAGGCAGCAGGCGCGCAAAUUGCCCACUAUCAACACUGAUGAGGCAGCGACGAGAAAUAACAACUGCGUUCGGUCCUACGAUCAGCGCAGAUUGUAAUGGACGAUACCCAAACCCAUCGAUGAGUAUCAAUUGGAGGGCAAGUCUGGUGCCAGCAGCCGCGGUAAUUCCAGCUCCAAGAGCGUAUACUAAUGUUGUUGCGGUUAAAAAGCCCGUAGUUGAACUGAGAGCCGAGGUUGCAUUGCGGCCCUUCCGGGUCGUCGACUGUCAGUUAUGCUGUCAGGCCGUUCGGCCUGGUUGAGGAUUCAACCCAGUGCAUUAGACCCCGGUUCUUCAUGCACGGAACCAAUUCUCGCGCGGAAACCUCCUUAACUGGUGGUGGAAGCAACUCCGCAUUCAACACAUGCAUACACGAGUGUCCGUGGACGUUACUGUGAACAAAACAGCGUGUCCAAAGCAGUCUGCCUGCAGGCUGUAUGACUGAGCAUGGAAUAACAACGGAUCGACCAUUCGGUCUUCUUUUCGUUGGCUUUCGAGGCCGAAGUGGACAAACUGAGCAGGUCUUCUGUAACAGCUUCGGUUGAUUGUCUCCGGACUUUCAAUCUGCUGCUUAUGGCUGCUGUCUCAAGCGGGAUGAACGGGAGCCAUCGGGGCUGUACGUAUAAUCGCCCUAGGGGUGAAAUCCUUAGACGGCGGUUAGACGGACAACGGCGAAGGCAUUCAGCAAGGGUGCUUCCAUCGAUCAUGGACGUGAGUGUGGGGAUCGAAGAUGAUCAGAUACCGUCGUAGUCCAUUACCGUAAACGAUGUCGCCUCGGCGGUGAGAGCUUGUACUAUUCUCAAGACUCUCCCAUCGUGGACCUUUCUAACGAGAAAUCAAAGGCUUCGGAUUCCGGGGGGAGUACACUCGCAAGGCUGAAACUUAAAGGAAUUGACGGAUUGGCACCACAAGGCGUGGAGUAUGCGGCUUAAUUUGACCCAACACGGGGAAUUUUACCAGGUCAGGACAUCGUAAGGAUUGACAGAUUAAUAGCUCUUUCAUGAUCCGAUGAAUGGUGGUGCAUGGCCGUUACUGGUUGGUGUUGCGAAAUGUCUGCUUGAUUGCGUUAACGAACGAGAUCACCGCCUCUAAAUACGUGCCCACCUCGACGUAGGACAACGGGACAUAGCCUCGGUUAUGCUCUCAGUGUCUGAGAGUGUGGAUCGCUUCUUAGGGGGACUGCGGAGACCCUACUCCGCGGAAGAUGGUGCCAAUAGCAGGUCUGUGAUGCUCCUAAAUGUUCUGGGCCGCACGCGCACUACAAUGGUGCGGUAAACGAGUACCACUCUUCAUGAGACCCAACUCGAAGGAGAUGGGCAAUCUGCUGAACCCGCGUUGUGCUGGGGAUCGAUGAUUGCAAUUAUUUGCCAUGAACCAGGAAUGCCUAGUAGGCGCGACUCAUCAGGUCGCACCGAUUAUGUCCCUGCCAAUUGUACACACCGCCCGUCGUUGCUACCGAUGAUGUGGAGAUAGAGACGUUGGGAGAGGCUGUCUUAAACGUUCGCGUUUAUUUCAGCUUCGAACUUCUCCGAUAUCUCCAUAUUAGAGGAAGCAAAAGUCGUAACAAGGUAGCUGUAGGUGAACCUGCAGCUGGAUCAUU